rfam:Aedes albopictus isolate Foshan contig67322, whole genome shotgun sequence.
UGUUCUCUGGCUUACUUAGUUAAAGCGCCGAUCUAGAUAAUAUGGAGUCGUGGGUUCGAAUCCCAUCAGAACGU